GAUGAAGAACGUAGCGAAAUGCGAUACGUAAUGUGAAUUGCAAAUUCAGUGAAUCAUCGAAUCUUUGAACGCACAUUGCGCCCCCUGGUAUUCCGGGGGGCAUGCCUGUCCGAGCGUCAUUACAACCCUCAAGCUCAGCUUGGUGUUGGGCCCCGCCGCCCCGGCGGGCCCUAAAGUCAGUGGCGGUGCCGUCCGGCUCCGAGCGUAGUAAUUCUUCUCGCUCUGGAGGUCCGGUCGUGUGCUCGCCAGCAACCCCCAAUUUUUUUCAGGUUGACCUCGGAUCAGGUAGGGAUACCCGCUGAACUUAAGCAUAUCAAUAAGCGGAGGA
rnacentral:misc_RNA from 1 species